rnacentral:rRNA from 1 species
GAUGAACGCUGGCGGCGUGCCUAACACAUGUAAGUCGAACGGUGAAGCCCGCUUUAUAGUGGGUGGAUCAGUGGCGGACGGGUGAGUAACACGUAGGUGACCUGCCCCAAAGAGGGGAACAACUUUGCGAAAGUGAAGCUAAUACCCCGUGUGAUCGGCCAUUCGUUUGGUCGAUUAAAGCUACGGCGCUUUGGGAGGGGCCUGCGGCCCAUCAGCUAGUUGGUAGGGUAAUGGCCUACCAAGGCGAAGACGGGUAGCUGGUCUGAGAGGAUGAUCAGCCACAAUGGCACUGAAACACGGGCCAUACUCCUACGGGAGGCAGCAGUGAGGAAUAUUGGACAAUCAGCGAAAGCUGGAUCCAGCAACGCCGCGUGGACGAUGAAGGCCUUCGGGUUGUAAAGUCCU